rnacentral:rRNA from 1 species
UACGUAGGGUGCGAGCGUUGUCCGGAAUUAUUGGGCGUAAAGAGCUUGUAGGCGGUUUGUCGCGUCUGCCGUGAAAAUCCGGGGCUCAACCCCGGACUUGCAGUGGGUACGGGCAGGCUAGAGUGUGGUAGGGGAGACUGGAAUUCCUGGUGUAGCGGUGGAAUGCGCAGAUAUCAGGAGGAACACCGAUGGCGAAGGCAGGUCUCUGGGCCACUACUGACGCUGAGAAGCGAAAGCAUGGGGAGCGAACAGG